AUCUGUAUGUCCCCUGCGUUUCUGGGACAGGAAGUGAUUUUCCUGAAUAUACCAAUAGGUGUCCUUAAUUGCGCCUGUGCGAAAUCAAACGUUGCUGACGUGUAGAGGUCGCACGGAUUGAGCUUUUUCUCUGAUUUCAAAGCCGAAUUGUUUGGAGUGAAGGAGCUGAUGCGUGAAGAUGAGUGUUGAAGUGGAAAGGAAAUUUUUAUGCAAUGCCGACACCCUGAAAAAACUGGAGGAGAUCGGGGCAGUUUGCGUUGGCCAACAGCAGAUUCACGACCAGUAUUUCGAUACUCCUGAGUUUCACCUGACUUUGAGGGACAUGUGGCUGCGUAAACGUAAAGGAUGCUGGGAGCUCAAGUGCCCGACAGCAGAAGCGCAGAGCGGGAAGCAGGGUGAAGCAGCAGCAUCGCUGUGCACCCGUUACAAGGAGAUAACCAGCCUGCCUGAAAUUCACCUGAGAGUCAAAGAGGUCAUAAAACAGGACAGAGAGUCAGAGGCGGACUUCUCACAGGAAGAUGAGUCGUGGCUGAGCAAACUGGACCUGGUGUGCUUUGCAGAGUUUACAACAGCACGGUGCUCGUUUACUUUAAAGGAGGAGGGCGUGCAGAUCGAUCUGGACCAGGCUGACUUUGGCUAUCAUGUGGGGGAGAUAGAAGUCCUCAUAUCAGAGGGAGGAGAUGAGCAGGCUGCACUGGAGAAGAUCAGAAAAACGGCAGAAAAGCUGGGGCUUACUGGAGAUCAGCGAGUUAAAGGAAAAAUGGAUGUUUACCUCAAAAGAAAUCACCCUGAGCACUAUGCAAAACUGCUUAGUGAACACAUCCUGUAAGAGAUCAUACUGCAUCUGUACAAAUAUGGGAACAAAAAAAGGCCUUAUUUACUAUAAAAGUCAGGUGUAUGCAAUGGAGGAGGAUUCUCAGAGGUGUAGACUGGUUCUCCUGCUGAUUAGGUCUCUGCACCUGUUGUAGGCAGAUCCACCUGGACACCUGGAAUUCACACCACACACACCAUGGCUUCUGCUGUGCACAGACAGCUGGUCUUGUUCACAGGAAGACUGCACAGGAGGCCAACUUCAUGCAGGAGUUGUUACACAGGCAGUCCUGUAUCAUGCAGAAUGUAGAUGAUCCCUUAAUUUAAAAAGAAAACAACCCAUCAUCAUCUACCAAUCAGACAUGCAGUGGAUCGAUUCCCAGCUAAAAAAGUAUCCUUGAGCAAGUACUAGCCCUUUGAGUUUCCCCUGAUUCAUCCAUCAGAGUGUGAGUGUGUGAAAAUGUUAGCUAAAGGUGUGUAGGUAUAGAUGAAAGCACUGCAUGACGCUGUAUGUGACUGGGUGAAUUAGAUUUAUUAUACAAAGCACUUUGAGUGCUCAAACUGAGUAGAAAGUUGCUGUAUAAGCAGCAGUCCUGUUAUCAGGGGCGGAUCUAGGGGGAGGGGCUUUGUUUUCUUAGAAGAGAUAACGAUAUAAUAAUUAGUUAUUAUACCUCUGUACCAUUUACAGAGGUAUGUGCUACCCUGUGUAGAUCUCUUGCUCCUCCUUUGUUCUCACAUGUAAAAUUUUCUAGAUCAGUCACUGCCUGUACCACUUACAGUUUCCAUGUACAGUGAUCACAACAGAAGUCUGAAUGUUUCAAACUGCAACAACACUUAUUUAAUGGACACCACGGCCCAUAAGUCAGGAGGUCAUACUUGUAGCAAAGGAAACACAGAGUAAACCUAAGGCAGUCUGCAUACGCUUACAAUGUGAUAGAUGUUGGAGCAGAAAUUUAUUAGCCAUACAUCAAAACCAAGAGUAAAUUCUGCUGAGGUUGUUUGCAUUUUAUAUCUGGUGAAAAAAUAUGAGUGGUUCACUCCUAUGGGCAGUUUAGAGUCACCAAUCAUCAUUUAAAACAAUAACUCUUAAAGCAGUGAUUAUUAAAUAAUGGAUGAUUCCUAACAAUAUUAUAGCCUGUAUCCGAGGCUGUUUUGUGCCUAUAAAUGUCCCUUCUCAGAUAUAACUUGUAUGAUAUCCACUGGUGUUUGGUAAAUAAUAAAAUAAAUGUAUUGUAAAACAUGUAACACAUGAAAUGAGUCCGUUUUCAGCCCAUGGCCCAUCUGUAAGUGAGAGGCCCUGGAUUAGUGGUUCAGCUGUUGGUAUGUUGUUUGAAUCUUCCUGUACGCUGUCAGCAAAUUGUUUAGCGAUAAAGAGCUUGCAGACAUGUCAUGAAUUCAGAAGUCACAUGUUGUGGGCUUUGAUGACUCAGACCUUCUUCUCUUCAUAUUCACAUAUUAUUUGUUGUGACACCCUCUGGAACACAUUCCAAAAUGUAGAUUUUAGAGGCUAAGGUAGUUCGGUUAGUUGAGCCCCACGUCCACACAGUGGCCCUGGCAGCCAAAUCCUGGGGGACUGGUAGACUGUUUUGUAGGACCUAAAUAACGCAGGUGUCAAAAAAUAGACAGGUUAUUAAAUUAUAGGACCCCCGCCCCUCGGGAAUAGAUGACAAACACCUUCUUUACCAUGAGCAACCUCAGACUUGAUUCAUUACGUUGAGGUGACACAGGAAUGAGCAGUACAGUCGUUCACAAUAAAUAAAAUAGAUUGCUUAGUGGCACUUUAAGUUGCUUAGCUUGACAUGUUAUCAUUUUUAGUUUCCUUCCACUUUACUCUGUGUGCUGUUUUCAUUUUAGUUU